rnacentral:rRNA from 1 species
AUCGGAGAAGGAUUAGCCCGCGUUAGAUUAGGUAGUUGGUGGGGUAAUGGCCUACCAAGCCUACGAUCUAUAGCUGGUUUGAGAGGAUGAUCAGCCACACUGGGACUGAGACACGGCCCAGACUCCUACGGGAGGCAGCAGUAGGGAAUCUUAGUCAAUGGGGGCAACCCUGAUCUAGCCAUGCCG